GACGUAGGGGGCCAGCGUUGCUCGGAAUUACUGGGUGUAAAGGGUUCGUAGGCGGUGUGGCAAGUCGGGAGUGAAAUCUCUGGGCUCAACCCAGAGUCUGCUUCCGAAACUGCUGUGCUUGAGUGUGGGAGAGGGAUGCGGAAUUCCAGGUGUAGCGGUGAAAUGCGUAGAUAUCGGGAGGAACACCUGUGGCGAAAGCGGCGCACUGGACCACAACUGACGCUGAGGCGCGAAAGCUAGGGGAGCAAACAGG
rnacentral:rRNA from 1 species